rnacentral:rRNA from 1 species
AUUGAACGCUGGCGGCAUGCCUUACACAUGCAAGUCGAACGGCAGCGGGGGAGAAGCUUGCUUUUCCUGCCGGCGAGUGGCGAACGGGUGAGUAAUACAUAGGAACGUGCCCUGUAGUGGGGGAUAACUAGUCGAAAGAUUAGCUAAUGCCGCAUACGACCUGAGGGUGAAAGUGGGGGACCGCAAGGCCUCAUGCUAUAGGAGCGGCCGAUGUCGGAUGAGCUAGUUGGUGGGGUAAAGGCCUACCAAGGCGACGAUCAGUAGCUGGGCUGGGAGGACGAUCAGCCACACUGGGACUGAGACACGGCCCAGACUCCUACGGGAGGCAGCAGUGGGGAAUUUUGGACAAUGGGCGAAAGCCUGAUCCAGCAAUGCCGCGUGCAGGAAGAAGGCCUUCGGGUUGUAAACUUCUUUUGUACGGAGCGAAAAGGCUUUCUCUAAUACAUGAGGCUGAUGACGGUACCGUAAGAAUAAGCACCGGCUAACUACGUGCCAGCCGCCGCAGUAA